rnacentral:rRNA from 1 species
CCUACGGGAGGCAGCAGUGAGGAAUAUUGGUCAAUGGACGGAAGUCUGAACCAGCCAUGCCGCGUGCAGGAAGACGGCUCUAUGAGUUGUAAACUGCUUUUGUACAAGGGUAAACCUGAAUACGUGUAUUCAGCUGAAAGUACUGUACGAAUACGGAUCGGCUAACUCCGUGCCAGCAGCCGCGGUAAUACGGAGGAUCCAAGCGUUAUCCGGAUUUAUUGGGUUUAAAGGGUGCGUAGGCGGAUUGAUAAGUUAGAGGUGAAAUGUCCGAGCUUAACUCGGGAACUGCCUCUAAUACUGUUGAUCUAGAGAGUAGGUGCGGUAGGCGGAAUGUAUGGUGUAGCGGUUAAAUGCUUAGAGAUCAUACAGAACACCGAUUGCGAAGGCAGCUUACCAAUCUAUAUCUGACGUUGAGGCACGAAAGCGUGGGGAGCAAACAGGAUUAGAUACCCGAGUAGUC